rnacentral:rRNA from 1 species
UACGUAGGGUGCGAGCGUUAAUCGGAAUUACUGGGCGUAAAGCGUGCGCAGGCGGUUAGUCAAGUCUGCUGUGAAAUCCCCGGGCUCAACCUGGGAAUUGCAGUGGUAACUGGCUCGCUGGAGUAUGGCAGAGGGGGGUGGAAUUCCGCGUGUAGCAGUGAAAUGCGUAGAGAUGCGGAGGAACACCGAUGGCGAAGGCAGCCCCCUGGGCCAAUACUGACGCUCAGGCACGAAAGCGUGGGGAGCAAACAGG